GAGUUUGAUCUGGCUCAGGACGAACGCUGGCGGCGUGCCUAAUGCAUGCAAGUCGGACGCUAGAGUGCUUGCACUCUGAGUGGCGCACGGCUUGAGGGACCACGUGGGUACCUGACCCUCUCGUGGGGGAUAACCAGCGCGAAAGCGCUGCUAAGCCCGCAUACGCUCGCCUGUGGCGAGGAAAACUCGAUACGAGUGCGGGAGGAGGGGCCUGCGGCCCAUCAGGUAGUCGGCGGGGUAACGGCCCACCGAGCCGAUGACGGGUAGCUGGUCUGUGAGGACAGACAGCCAGACUGGGACUGAGACACGGGCCCUAGACUCCUACGGGGAGGCAGCAGCAAGGAAUUUUCCCCAAUGGGCGCAAG
rnacentral:rRNA from 1 species